rnacentral:rRNA from 1 species
UACAGAGGUCUCAAGCGUUGUUCGGAUUUAUUGGGCGUAAAGAGCGCGCAGGCGGUCGUCCAAGUCGCGUGUGAAAGCCCCCGGCUCAACUGGGGAGGGUCACGCGAUACUGGUCGACUCGAAGGCAGGAGAGGGUAGUGGAAUUCCCGGUGUAGUGGUGAAAUGCGUAGAUAUCGGGAGGAACACCAGUGGCGAAGGCGACUACCUGGCCUGUUCUUGACGCUGAGGCGCGAAAGCUAGGGGAGCAAACGGG